rnacentral:rRNA from 1 species
GGUCAAGCGAAUAAGCGCACACGGUGGAUGCCUUGGCGGUCAGAGGCGAUGAAGGACGUGGCAGCCUGCGAAAAGUAUCGGGGAGCUGGCAACAAGCUUUGAUCCGGUAAUGUCCGAAUGGGGAAACCCACCCGCUUGCGGGUAUCCUGCAGUGAAUACAUAGCUGCUGGAAGCGAACCUGGUGAACUGAAAUAUCUAAGUAACCAGAGGAAAAGAAAUCAACCGAGAUUCCGUAAGUAGCGACGAGCGAACGCGGACUAGCCCUUAAGCUGAUUUGGUUCUAGGAAAACGCUCUGGAAAGAGCGGCCAUAGAAGGUGAUAGCCCUGUAUCUGAAAGGGCCAUUUCAGUGAAGACGAGUAGGGCGGGGCACGUGAAACCCUGUCUGAACAUGGGGGGACCAUCCUCCAAGGCUAAAUACUACUGACCGACCGAUAGUGAACCAGUACCGUGAGGGAAAGGCGAAAAGAACCCCGGAGAGGGGAGUGAAAUAGAACCUGAAACCGUGUGCGUACAAGCAGUAGGAGCUCCGCAAGGAGUGACUGCGUACCUUUUGUAUAAUGGGUCAGCGACUUACUGUUCGUGGCAAGCUUAACCGUAUAGGGGAGGCGAAGGGAAACCGAGUCUGAUAAGGGCGCAUAGUCGCGGGCAGUAGACCCGAAACCGGGUGAUCUAGUCAUGCCCAGGGUGAAGGUGCGGUAACACGCACUGGAGGCCCGAACCCACUCCCGUUGCAAAGGUAGGGGAUGAGGUGUGAUUAGGAGUGAAAAGCUAAUCGAACCCGGAGAUAGCUGGUUCUCCUCGAAAGCUAUUUAGGUAGCGCCUCAUAUGUAUCCUCUCGGGGGUAGAGCACUGUUAUGGCUAGGGGGUCAUCGCGACUUACCAAACCAUUGCAAACUCCGAAUACCGAGACGGACUGUAUGGGAGACACACGGCGGGUGCUAACGUCCGUCGUGAAAAGGGAAACAACCCAGACCCACAGCUAAGGUCCCAAAUUUUGUGCUAAGUGGAAAACCAUGUGGAAAGGCACAGACAGCCAGGAGGUUGGCUUAGAAGCAGCCACCCUUUAAAGAAAGCGUAAUAGCUCACUGGUCGAGUCGGUCUGCGGGGAAGAUUUAACGGGGCUAAGCACAGAACCGAAGCUUGGGGUGCAUAACUUUGUUAUGCGCGGUAGAGGAGCGUUCCGUAAGCCGUUGAAGGUGGAUUGAGAAGUCUGCUGGAGGUAUCGGAAGUGCGAAUGCUGACAUGAGUAACGAUAAUGCGGGUGAAAAACCCGCACGCCGAAAGCCCAAGGUUUCCUUGCGCAACGUUAAUCGGCGCAGGGUGAGUCGGCCCCUAAGGCGAGGACGAAAGUCGUAGUCGAUGGGAAGCAGGUUAAUAUUCCUGCACCUCGCGUAAGUGCGAUGGAGGGACGGAGAAGGUUAGGUGUACCAGGCGUUGGUUGUCCUGGGGAAAGGCGGUAGGUUUGGAUCUUUGGCAAAUCCGGGAUCCUCUAAGACCGAGCACCGAGACGAGCCUUUAAGGCGAAGUCACUGAUACCACGCUUCCAGGAAAAGCUCCUAAGCUUCAGCUUACGCAGACCGUACCGUAAACCGACACAGGUGGGUAGGAUGAGAAUUCUCAGGCGCUUGAGAGAACUCGGGUGAAGGAACUAGGCAACAUGGCACCGUAACUUCGGGAGAAGGUGCACCCUUUUUGGUGGCUCGUGCGAGCUAUAGCUGAAGAGGGUCGCAGUAACCAGGCCGCUGCGACUGUUUAUCAAAAACACAGCACUCUGCAAACACGAAAGUGGACGUAUAGGGUGUGACGCCUGCCCGGUGCUGGAAGGUUAAUUGAUGGGGUCAGCCGCAAGGCGAAGCUCUUGAUCGAAGCCCCAGUAAACGGCGGCCGUAACUAUAACGGUCCUAAGGUAGCGAAAUUCCUUGUCGGGUAAGUUCCGACCUGCACGAAUGGCGUAACGACAGCGGCGCUGUCUCCACCCGAGACUCAGUGAAAUUGAAAUCGCUGUGAAGAUGCAGCGUUCCCGUGGCAAGACGGAAAGACCCCGUGAACCUUUACUAUAGCUUUACACUGAACGUUGAGUUCGUCUGUGUAGGAUAGGUGGGAGGCUAUGAAACCAUGGCGCUAGCUGUGGUGGAGCCAUCCUUGAAAUACCACCCUGUCGUGCUUGACGUUCUAACCUGGGCCCAUUAUCUGGGUCGGGGACCGUGUAUGGUGGGUAGUUUGACUGGGGCGGUCUCCUCCUAAAGAGUAACGGAGGAGCUCGAAGGUACGCUCAGCGCGGUCGGACAUCGCGCACUGUGUGCAAAGGCAUAAGCGUGCUUGACUGCAAGAUCGACGGAUCAAGCAGGUAGGAAACUAGGACUUAGUGAUCCGGUGGUUCUGUAUGGAAGGGCCAUCGCUCAACGGAUAAAAGGUACUCCGGGGAUAACAGGCUGAUACCGCCCAAGAGUUCAUAUCGACGGCGGUGUUUGGCACCUCGAUGUCGGCUCAUCACAUCCUGGGGCUGUAGUCGGUCCCAAGGGUAUGGCUGUUCGCCAUUUAAAGUGGUACGCGAGCUGGGUUCAGAACGUCGUGAGACAGUUCGGUCCCUAUCUGCCAUGGGCGUUGGAGAUUUGAGAGGGGCUGCUCCUAGUACGAGAGGACCGGAGUGGACGAACCUCUGGUGUUCCGGUUGUCACGCCAGUGGCAUUGCCGGGUAGCUAUGUUCGGAAGCGAUAACCGCUGAAAGCAUCUAAGCGGGAAGCGCGCCUCAAGAUGAGAUCUCCCGGGGCACAAGCCCCCUGAAGGAACCAUGUAGACUACGUGGUUGAUAGGUCAGGUGUGUAAGUACAGCAAUGUAUUGAGCUAACUGAUACUAAUGAUCCGUGCGGCUUGACCAU